AACACAAAUUGUACUUUCCAGUAUUCUGGGAAGUAUGCUUGGUUGAGGGUCAUUAAAAUAACAUUCGUGAAUUUUUUUGCGGAUUUGAGUUUUCCAGUGUCUAUAAAAAUGUUGGUAACUUUAAAAUUAUUAUUACUUGGUACAAGUUGAAAACGUUCUAUAUGUGUGGUUCGCUGACAACUUGUCCAUCUCAUAUAUUAUGCGUGCACUUGGUUUUUUUAAAGCUUUGUGUGAGUAUAUAUUUUUUUUAUGACCUCAGCUCAAGUAAGAAUACCCGCUGAACUUAA
rnacentral:misc_RNA from 1 species